AGAGUUUGAUUAUGGCUCAGGAUGAACGCUGGCGUCAUGCUUAACACAUGCAAGUCGAACGAAGUAUUGAUAGUGUUAAAGCUCUCAAUAUUUAGUGGCGGACGGGUGAGUAACGCGUAAGAACCUACCUUAUGGUGAGGGAUACCAACUGGAAACGGUUGCUAAUACCUCAUGUGCUGAGAAGUAAAAGACAGAAAUGUUGCCAAAAGAGGGGCUUGCGUCUGAUUAGUUUGUUGGUGAGGUAAAGGCUUACCAAGACGAUGAUCAGUAGUUGGUUUGAGAGGACGAUCAGCCACACUGGGACUGAGACGCGGCCCAGACUUCUACGGAAGGCAGCAGUGAGGAAUUUUCCGCAAUGGGCGAAAGCCUGACGGAAGCAAUGUCGCGUGGAGGAAGAAGGCUCGUGGGUUGUAAACUCCUUUUGUCAAAGAAGAAUAAAUGACGGUAUUUGACGAAUAAGCAUCGGCUAAUUCUGUGCCAGCCGCAGC
rnacentral:rRNA from 1 species